rnacentral:rRNA from 1 species
AUUGAACGCUGGCGGCAGGCCUAACACAUGCAAGUCGAACGGUAACAGGAAGAAGCUUGCUUCUUUGCUGACGAGUGGCGGACGGGUGAGUAAUGUCUGGGAAACUGCCUGAUGGAGGGGGAUAACUACUGGAAACGGUAGCUAAUACCGCAUAACGUCGCAAGACCAAAGAGGGGGACCUUCGGGCCUCUUGCCAUCGGAUGUGCCCAGAUGGGAUUAGCUAGUAGGUGGGGUAACGGCUCACCUAGGCGACGAUCCCUAGCUGGUCUGAGAGGAUGACCAGCCACACUGGAACUGAGACACGGUCCAGACUCCUACGGGAGGCAGCAGUGGGGAAAAUUGCGCAAUGGGCGCAAGCCUGAUGCAGCCAUGCCGCGUGUAUGAAGAAGGCCUUCGGGUUGUAAAGUACUUUCAGCGGGGAGGAAGGGAGUAAAGUUAAUACCUUUGCUCAUUGACGUUACCCGCAGAAGAAGCACCGGCUAACUCCG